rnacentral:rRNA from 1 species
CACGUAAGGGGCAAGCGUUGUUCGGAAUUAUUGGGCGUAAAGGGCGCGUAGGCGGUCUUGUAAGCCUGGCGUGAAAUCCUGGAGCUUAACUCCAGAACUGCGUUGGGAACUGCGAGACUUGAAUCAUGGAGGGGAAACCAGAAUUCCAGGUGUAGGGGUGAAAUCUGUAGAUAUCUGGAAGAAUACCGGUGGCGAAGGCGGGUUUCUAGCCAAUGAUUGACGCUGAGGCGCGAAAGUGCGGGGAGCAAACAGGAUUAGAUACC